UACGUAGGGGGCAAGCGUUGUCCGGAAUUAUUGGGCGUAAAGAGCGUGUAGGCGGCCAGAUAAGUCCGCUGUGAAAUCUCGAGGCUCAACUUCGAGCUGUCGGUGGAAACUAUCUGGCUAGAGUCCGGAAGAGGAGAAUGGAAUUCCUGGUGUAGCGGUGAAAUGCGCAGAUAUCAGGAAGAACACCCGUGGCGAAGGCGGGUCUCUGGGCCGAUACUGACUCUGAGGAGCGAAAGCGUGGGGAGCGAACAGG
rnacentral:rRNA from 1 species